UCCGGACUCCAGGGAUCCGAACGUCUAAUUAAAACAGAAGUGACCAGAUGGUCUUGCGGAAGUUGACUUACAGUGAUUCUGCCCCAGUGCUCUGAAUGUUAGCUCGUAUUAAUUAGAGUAAGCGCGGGUAAACUGCGGGAGAAACUAUGACUCUCUUAAGGUAGCCAAAGGCAUCGUCAUUAAAUUGUCACGCGCAUGAAUGGAAUAACGAGAUUCGUACUGUCCCUAACUACUAUUUAGUGAAACCACAGCCAAGAGAACGGGCUUGGCUAAAGUAGCGGGUAAAGAAGACCCUGUUGAGCUUGACUCUGGUUUGACAUUGUGAAGAGUCAUGAGAGGCGUAGCAUAGGUGGGAGACUUCGGUAGACAGUGAAUUACCACCACUUUCAUCGACUCUUUAAUUAUUGGGUUGAAAGAGAAUACAUCCGGCCCGUAGUAGGUCACGGACAUAGAUCUCGCUGAGAUCUACAUUUUGGUAUAUUUUUCAGGUCAUAACACUGAGUUUGAAGCAUUUACGAGCCGGCCCAGGUCGACCCGGUUUGCAAAUAUGUUUUGAACUAAUUUUCAGAAUCCAAAUGAGCCGU
rnacentral:ncRNA from 1 species